AAUAAUCUCGGGAAACUGAGCAUAAUUCUUGGUCGAUCAUAAUGCCUGGAAUGGUUUAUGGUUAAAAUGAUUCGUCCCCAUAGGAUGGGACCGCGGCCUAUCAGCUUGUUGUCGAGGUAAUGGCCCACCAAGGCGAUUACAGGUACGGGCUCUGAGAGGAGAAGCCCGGAGAUGGGUACUGAGACACGGACCCACGCCCUAUGGGGCG
rnacentral:rRNA from 1 species